rnacentral:rRNA from 1 species
AUUGAACGCUGGCGGUAGGCCUAACACAUGCAAGUCGAACGCGAAAGUCCUUCGGGAUGAGUAGAGUGGCGGACGGGUGAGUAACGCGUAGGAAUCUAUCCUGUAGUGGGGGAUAACGUUUCGAAAGGAACGCUAAUACCGCAUACGCCCCAAGGGGGAAAGCGGGGGAUCUUCGGACCUCGCGCCGAUGGAUGAGCCCAUGUCGGAUUAGCUAGUUGGUGAGGUAACGGCUCACCAAGGCGACGAUCCGUAGCUGGUCUGAGAGGACGGCCAGCCACGCUGGGACUGAGACACGGCACAGACUCCUACGGGAGGCAGCAGUGGGGAAUAUUGGACAAUGGGUGAAACCCUGAUCCAGCGUAGCCGCGUGUGUGAAGAAGGCCUGCGGGUUGUAAAGCACUUUCGAUGGGAACGAAAUGUGCCGGGCUAAUACCCCGGCAAGCUGACGUUACUCAAUGAAGAAGCACCGGCUAACUCUGUGCCAGCCGCCGCUGUAAAAC